UUAGAAUAUGUUAGAAUACAAUGAAUUUGAUUGAUUACAAGUGCUAGAGAUGCAUGAAGAGUGUUUAGAAGUGUGUAGAAAGACUUGUUGAAAUUGGGUCCCAAAUGGGCUAAGAACUCGGAAACAUUGCGUUAAACCACUUAAGGGUUUUUCUAGUGCUGUUUUGGGUUAGAAUAUGUUAGAAUACAAUAAAUUUGAUUGUUACAAGUGCUAGAGAUACAUGAAGAAUUUUUACAAGUGUGGAGAAAGACUUGUUGAAAUUGGGUCCCAAAUGGGCUAAGAACUCGGAAACAUUGCUCUGAACAACUAAAUGACUUAUCUAGUGUUGUGUGGGGUUAGAAUAUGUUAGAAUCCAAUGAAUUUGAUUGAUUACAAGUGCUAGAGAUGCCUGAAGAGUGUUUAGAAGUGUGUAGAAAGACUUGUAGAAAUUGGGCCCCAAAUGGGCUAAGAACUCGGAAACAUUGCGUUGAACCACUAAAUGACUUAUCUAGUGUUGUUUGGGGUUAGAAUAUGUUAGAAUACAAUGAUUUUUGAUUGAUUACAAUUGCUAGAGAUGCAUGAAAAGUGUUUAAAACUGUGUAGAAAGACUAGUUGAAAUUGGGUCCCAAAUGGGCUAAGAACUCGGAAACAAUGCGUUGAACCACUAAAUGACUUAUCUAGUGUUGUUUGGGGUUAGAAUAUGUUAGAAUACAAUGAAUUUGAUUGAUUACAAUUGCUAGAGAUGCAUGAAAAGUGUUUAAAACUGUGUAGAAAGACUGGUUGAAAUUGGGUCCCAAAUGGGCUAAGAACUCGGAAACAUUGCGUUGAACCACUAAAUGAUUUAUCUAGUGUUGUUUGGGGUUAGAAUAUGUUAGAAUACAAUGAAUUUCAUUGAUUACAAG
rnacentral:lncRNA from 1 species